UACGAAGGGGGCUAGCGUUGCUCGGAAUCACUGGGCGUAAAGGGUGCGUAGGCGGGUCUUUAAGUCAGGGGGGAAAUCCUGGAGCUCAACUCCAGAACUGCCUUUGAUACUGAAGAUCUUGAGUUCGGGAGAGGUGAGUGGAACUGCGAGUGUAGAGGUGAAAUUCGUAGAUAUCGGGAGGAACACCGGUGGCGAAGGCGGCGACCUGGGUAGAUACUGACGCUGAGGUGCGAAAGCGUGGGGAGCAAACAGG
rnacentral:rRNA from 1 species